GACCACGAAACGACUUAUACCAAACAUGGUGGCAAAGGCUGUAGCCGUUCUACUCCUUGUGUGCUGUCUUGCAUUGACCUCUGAGGCCUGGGGGACUCAACAGUGCCCCUAUGGACAAAUACCAGUAGGAACCUGCAGUGCCCAAACCUGGUGGAAGUGCCGUCUUGGACAAUGCAUUCCAGUCAAUGGUUACUUUGGUAUCUGCUGUAAAAAGUUCCACCAUAGCGGAUAUUACUAAUGUCCCGGACUGAACGGUUUUCAUCUUUAUCAAUCAGAAAUAAAGAUUUCGAAAUAA